rfam:Oryza glumipatula chromosome 2, whole genome shotgun sequence.
AAUAAGUGCAGUUUUGUACUAUUCACGUUCAACGUUUGACUGUUCGUCUUAUUUGAAAAAAAAUUUAUGAUUAGUAUUUUUAUUGCUAUUAGAUGAUAAAACAUGAAUAGUACUUUAUGUGUGACUAAAUAUUUUUAAAUUUUUUAUAAACUUUUUUAAUAAGACGAACGGUCACAUGUUGGGCACGGAUAUCUACGGCUGCACUUAUU